UACAGAGGUCCCAAGCGUUGUUCGGAUUCAUUGGGCGUAAAGGGUGCGUAGGCGGCGCGGUAAGUCGGGUGUGAAAUCUCGGAGCUUAACUCCGAAACUGCAUUCGAUACUGCCGUGCUUGAGGACUGGAGAGGAGACUGGAAUUUACGGUGUAGCGGUGAAAUGCGUAGAUAUCGUAAGGAAGACCAGUGGCGAAGGCGGGGCUCUGGACAGUUCCUGACGCUGAGGCACGAAGGCCAGGGGAGCAAACGGG
rnacentral:rRNA from 1 species